rnacentral:rRNA from 1 species
AUUGAACGCUGGCGGCAGGCCUAACACAUGCAAGUCGAACGAGUGGAGUACGGGUGAGUAAUGUCUGGGAAACCGCCUGAUGGAGGGGGAAAACUACUGGAAACGGUAGCUAAUACCGCAUACCAUCAGAUGUUCCCAGAUGGGAUGAGCUAGUUGGUGGGGUACCGGCUCACAAAGGCGACGAUCCCUAGCUGGUCUGAGAGGAUGACCAGCCACACUGGAACUGAGACACGGUCCAGAUUCCGACGGGAGGCAGCAGUGGGGAAUAUUGCCCAAGGGGCGCAAGCCUGAUGCAGCCAUGCCGCGUGUAUGAAGAAGGCCUUCGGGUUGUAAAGUACUUUCAGCGGGGAGGCGUUACCCGCAGAAGAAGCACCGGCUAACUCCGUGCCAGCAGCCGCGGUAAUAC